AGAACGAUGACAUCAUUACACCUGAACCAGAACGAUGACAUCAUUACACCUGAACCAGUACACCUGGUGACAUCAUGGGGGUCAGCCUGUCAUCGGCCAGCGUGAGCUGCUUAUCACAACCCGGAGCACGUGCACUAAACUACCCGGCAACGACUCCCGAAGCCUCCAGAGCUCAUCCAGAAUACCCAGAUCUUCAUCUCCCUCCUCCUCAUCAUCAUCGGCUCUCGAGGACAAAUCAACAAAGUACUUUUAUUUUUUGCAUCCUCUGUCACUUGUUAUCAGAGUUCAUUGGAGUGUUUACAUGUGAAACUCCUCUAAGAGGAAGACUUUGGGGAUGAAGAGGAGGCGUUGCUCCUCCUGCAUCGUUCAAUCUAAGAGGUUUUAAUCUAUUUUAACUCGUCUUCUUUCAUUCUAGAGGAAAUAAAACAUUUAUUUUA